GACAGAGGGGGCCAGCGUUGUCCGGAGUGACUGGGCGUACAGCGCGCGCAGGCGGUUGGGAACGUGCCGCGUCACAGCCCUGAGCUCAACUCAGGGUGGCCACGGUAGACGUCCCGGCUGGAGGCAGGGAGAGGGAUGUGGAAUACCCGGUGGAGCGGUGAAAUGCGUAGAGAUCGGGUGGAACACCAGUGGCGAAGGCGGCAUCCUGGCCCUGACCUGACGCUGGGGCGCGAGAGCGUGGGGAGCAAACGGG
rnacentral:rRNA from 1 species